rnacentral:rRNA from 1 species
GAGUUUGAUCGUGGCUCAGAACGAACGCUGGCGGCAGGCUUAACACAUGCAAGUCGAACGCGUGUAGCAAUACACGAGUGGCGCACGGGUGAGUAACGCGUGGAUAUCUGCCUUUUGGUUCGGAAUAACCCCGGGAAACUGGGGCUAAUACCGGAUGGUUCCUUCGGGAUAAAGAUUUAUCGCCAAAAGAUGAGUCCGCGUACGAUUAGCUAGUUGGUGAGGUAAUGGCUCACCAAGGCGACGAUCGUUAGCUGGUCUGAGAGGACGAUCAGCCACACUGGGACUGAGACACGGCCCAGACUCCUACGGGAGGCAGCAGUGGGGAAUAUUGGACAAUGGGGGCAACCCUGAUCCAGCCAUGCCGCGUGAGUGAUGAAGGCCUUCGGGUUGU